rnacentral:rRNA from 1 species
CAGCCGCCGCGGUAAUACGUAGGGUGCGAGCGUUAAUCGGAUUUACUGGGCGUAAAGCGUGCGCAGGCGGCCCGUUAAGACAGGUGUGAAAUCCCUGGGCUCAACCUAGGAAUUGCGCUUGUGACUGGCGGGCUCGAGUACGGUAGAGGGGGGUGGAAUUCCUGGUGUAGCAGGGAAAUGCGUAGAGACCCGGAGGAACACCGAUGGCGAAGGCAGCCCCCUGGGCCUGUACUGACGCUCAUGCACGAAAGCGUGGGGAGCAAACAGGAUUAGAUACCCUGGUAGUCCACGCCCUAAACGAUGGGUACUAGCCGUUUGGUGCGCGAUAGCGCUGAGUGGCGAAGCUAACGCGUGAAGUACCCCGCCUGGGGAGUACGGCCGCAAGGUUGAAACUUAAAGGAAUUGGCGGG